CGCGUAGGCGGGAUUUUAAGUCAGGUGUGAAAACUCUGGGCUCAACCUGGAGAUUGCACUUGAAACUGGAAUUCUUGAGGACAGGAGAGGAAAGUGGAAUUCUUAGUGUAGCGGUGAAAUGCGUAGAUAUUAGGAGGAACACCAGUGGCGAAGGCGACUUUCUGGACUGUAACUGACGCUGAGGCGCGAAAGCGUGGGGAGUGAACG
rnacentral:rRNA from 1 species